UUCAGAGAUUGGCAAGUGUCAUUUUAUUGUAAAAGUGGUUUUUUCCUUGUAUUAAAGGUAUAUGCUACCACACCUGACCUCACCCCCUUCCUUUCUCUUUUCUUUUUCUUUUCUCUUCUCUUCUCUUCUCUUCUCUUCUCUUCUCUUCUCUUCUCUUCUCUUCUCUUCUCUUCUCUUCUUGUCUUUCCUUUUUCCCUUCUCUUUUUUAAUUUACUCGGUGGGCUGGAGAAAUGACUAAGUGGUUAAGAAUGGGUGUUACUCUCACAAAGACCUAAAUUGAUCCUCAGCACUCAUAGCUCAUAGCUGCCUGUUAACUCCAGCUCCAGGGUAUGACAGGUCUGAGCUUCUCAGACACACACACACAAACACACACCCCAAAUUAAAAAAAAAAACAAAACAAGCAAACAAACAGGUUUUUAACAAGUUAUUUAGGUAUACAGUAUUUCUUCAUCAUAGUUACCACCACCUUUUUUUUCCUUUUUAGUAGGAGACCACACUGAAUAGUUUUGUGACAAGCCAUGUAGCAGCUUUGUCCUGUCAAAACAGGUAGUUUAAAAUGAUAGGAGAGGUUCAGGUUGUCUUUAUUAGUUAUUCAUUUACCUGAGGAGGCUGGUGGGGAGAUGUGUGUGCUGUUUUGUUGUCUGUUUCUGUCAGCAGAAGGACUCAGCAGAGGGAUAGAUAGUUUAUAGUCUGGAGCACUUGAUUCUCUGCUCCUGCUUAGAGAAGUUGAGGGACUAGCAAAAGGGCAGUUUAACCUUAGGCCUUAGAAGAGUGACGCCACUGUCACCCGAGGUGACAGCCAGCCUCUUGAGUGGAGCUGUAAAAGUGCUGCUAAUGUGUAUGCCCUGAACUUUGCUUUGUUCUCCUUAACAUUUGCUCUCCCUCUCACUGUCGUCAGUCACACACGCUGCCCUGAAUCUCAGCUGCUCUUGACUCGUGGUUUUACUUAUGCUUCCAGUCUCCUUUAAUAAAUACAUUACUUGCAAGCAGUGAAUUGAAAACAAGAGAAAAAGUAAAAAAUAAAGCGACCAUUAGUGAUCGGACAGUUUCUUACUUUGUGUUACAUUUAACUGUUCUUUUGACAGCCCAGUUUUUAAAGCCAGGUUCGUAUGGAAAUGCUUCACUCCACUUGCACUGCUUUUGGAAAUAGCAUACUGCUUCAUCUGUCUGUUUACUUUAGUGCAUUCAUAAUAUAACACAGUAAGCAUAAUGUCUCAUCUCUUGUGGCCAAAGAUUGAUUUCUUAAAAAAGGAAAAAACAAAAACAAAACAGC
rnacentral:lncRNA from 1 species